rnacentral:sRNA from 1 species
UCGUCCAGCUGCUUUCAGCCCCCGAAGCCCGAACACUGUUUGGCUUCCAAUCACUAGUGCAGCGAGAGUGGGUGGCAGCUGGACAUCCCUUCCUGACUCGGCUUGGGGGAACUGGGGCCAGUGAAGAGGUGAGAAUGAUUCGGGAUGGCAUCGGGGGGAUAUUACUAAAGAAGAGAAUGAGAAAUUAUUUUGUAUAAUCCAUUGGAGGUGAAUCCGGUCAGAAGGGCCCCGAGGUUAGGCUGAGAUGAAGAUCCUGAUGAGUGAGGCCUCACAAGCCCCUGCUACCCUCAAUUCAGAUUUUCAUUCCCUGACCUCCAUAGUUCCCCCUAUUCCCUGUGUUCUCCAUUCCCUUAUCAUCUCGUCAUCCUCCCUCUUUGGGUCCCAAUAAUUCCUUCCAACCUCUUAAUUUCUUUUCAGGCUCCGGUGUUUCUCCUCUUCCUUGAUUGUGUCUGGCAGCUCCUCCAGCAGUUUCCAGCUGAUUUUGAAUUCUCUGAGUUUUUCCUUCUUGCUCUUCAUGACAGUGUCAGGGUUCCUGACACCCUUACCUUCCUGAGAAAUACCCCCUGGGAGCGCGGAAAGCAGAGCGGACAGUUAAACUCCUAUACACAAGUCUACACCCCAGGAUACUCCCAGCCCCCAGCUGGGAACUCUUUUAACCUGCAGCUGUCUGUCUGGGACUGGGAUUUACGCUAUAGCAAUGCACAGAUACUACAAUUCCAGAAUCCUGGCUAUGACCCAGAACACUGUCCAGAUUCCUGGCUCCCUAGACCGCAGGUGAAGUGUCUAAACUUCCUAAAUUCCCUCGGCGUUCCCACAGGCUCAUGCUACUAGACAGUGAGAAGUGAAAGACACAAUGUCUUGAGUUCCUUAGGGAAAGCUACUCCACUACUCUUCUGCAGCUGUCACUUAUAGUCCCUGGGUGUCCCUAGGAAGACAGAAGACCUAGAAUAGCACAGAGGGCACCCUUUUUGUCCUUCCUCAAGUCUGUUUACUCAUCUUCCUGUCUCAUGCACACAUAAGUUGCCCUAAAAUCAACCUUAAUCAGUCCUGAGGCCUAGUUGA